UACGUAGGUGACAAGCGUUGUCCGGAUUUACUGGGCGUAAAGAGCGCGCAGGCGGUCGAUCAAGUCGAGUGUGAAAGCCCCCGGCUCAACUGGGGAGGGUCGUGCGAUACGGUCGGGCUUGAGGCCAGUAGGGGGAUGCGGAAUUCCGGGUGUAGUGGUGGAAUGCGUAGAGAUCCGGAGGAACACCAGCGGCGAAGGCGGUGUCCUGGGGAGUACCUGACGCUCAGGUGCGAAAGCCAGGGGAGCGAACGGG
rnacentral:rRNA from 1 species